UGUGUAGUAUAAAUAAUUUUACUUUGAAACUGCGAAUGGCUCAUUAUAUCAGUUAUAGUUUAUUAGAAAUACUUUACUACUUGGAUAACCGUAGUAAUUCUAGGGCUAAUACAUGACUAAAUCCUCAACUUCGGAAGAGGUGUGUUUAUUAGUAUGAAAACCAUAUAUCUUCGGAUAUAAUAGUGAGUAAUAAUAACCUUUCAUAUCGUAUGUCGUAAGAUAACGAUAGUUCUUUCAAGUUUCUGCCCUAUCAGCUUUCGAUGGUAGUAUAUGGGACUACCAUG
rnacentral:rRNA from 1 species